rnacentral:lncRNA from 10 species
CUGGAGCAAAGGUUGCCCUCGCCAGGCACUGGCUGGCAGCUCCACGGCACAGGUGUCACAUCAGGCCUGCUGCACUUGCCCCUGCUUGCCCAGGGACUUCCCUUCUAACAACGAGAUCUGACAGCAUCUCUAAGUUGAAGAAUGCUGCCUGACACAGGGCCUUGGAAAGACCCCACGCUAUCAGAGGCCCGAUGCCCAAGGUCCAUUAACUUCUCUGUGGAAUCAUCCCUGGGAGCCGGGGUGCGCUCCCGAUGCUGGUCCUCCACAGUCCCUCUCUAAGAUGGUGAGGGUCUGCCCCGAGCUUGGCCUUGGUGCUGAGACCCUACACACAGACUGCAGGUCCCUGAGCACUCCCAGAUAGUCAAGCAUCAGGGUCCCCAGCCCUGCCUCUGGCCAUCCCCCCACCUGCAGCCCAUGCACACGAGGUGAAGAAGCAGCAAGAGGCACACAGAGGGCCACCUUCUCACACCAGGAUCCUUCAGCGGCUCAAGAACCCAAAGUCACCCCAGACCCCAGGCCUGGCCAUCUUUCCCUUUCCCUCAGCUGAGUUCUGAUCAGCUUGCUCCUUUCCAAGUACCAUUACCUGCCACUUAUGGGCUGCAAAAAGAAAUAUAUGGCAGUUCAUAGAUUUUCAGACAUAAUAAAACACGCUUGUCAAGGCCAGAUUGUUGUCUGCUUGUCACUGCUAAUGAGAAUGUACCUCCUCUGGAGGCAUUUUGAAGGGGUCGGAGCCCUGGCAUGGAGCUGGGGAGCUGGGUGCUGGUUGCAGGGGAGCCACUAACUGGUCAGUGGCCUUGGUCAGUCCCAUCUCCCAGGUGGCUCUCCACUGAGUACCUGGGCUUUGCUGGAUGAUCCAUGGUCCUUGCAGUUGUGCCAUCCACUGGAUAGACUUUGCAACUUGCUCUGCUGCCCCCAUGUGCUUGGUGACCUGGCCCUUUUGAGAAGACAGUGGGGAUGGGGAAGACUUUGGGCAUUGAAUUGGGAACUCAUUUUGUCUUGGGUGGAUUCACCAAGAGGUCAAACACACUGGACAAGCAAACAAACAAGCAAAUGAAUAAAUGCACUAAUUUGAAUUUUUUACAAGCACUGCUCCUGUGCUUUGGGGUGUGAGUUGAUGUGUGCACACGUAGAAGCGGGGGUGGAAAGGAAGUGACCCUUGCUUGGUUUAGUUGCAUUAUGCAGGGACCCCUUUGGGCAAUCCUCCGCAAGCAGCCAGCUUACGGGAUGCGGGAGAGGGUCAUUGGGCCUUCAUCAUCAGAGGAAGAAUUCCUCCGUCUGGCUGAAGAGGAGACAGUGCAUGAAAAAUGGUGGCAAGGGGUCAGGAGGGGAAGGCAAGUGAGAAAACACUUUCAUCUAUUAUCCCGGGGUCAAUGGGCUCCCUCCCAUCAGGGAACCUUGGGGCCGAUGAAUGGCCCAUUGCAGGAGGUGCGGCAUUGUGUAGACCGGGAGCCCACGUCACAAUCCCCCAGCUCAGGACAAUAGUGCCUAAGAAAGUGGUGGGUGGCUCGCCUCCCAGGAGCUGCUUCUUCUUAUCAAAGGGCUUUUACCAGGAACGCCCCAGCCUGCUUAGGAAGGAGGGAGAGCUGUUUGUCCAAUAAUGCGAAGGCAUUUCAGACUCAUUCCAAAUUCUCCGUCAUGGCGAUUAGGUUGGCCCGUAUUGAAUUUCCUCCAGAACCAGUGUAGGUUUCUCAGCUGUUGCCGCUCCCUAAAAGCCACACAUAUUCUUUGAGUUGUGUAAUUUUUGUUUGAAGAACAACACAUUCCUAUUUAAAAAGAAGUCCAAAUCCUUAUGCUGAAAAAAAGACAUGCAUUCCCUCCAAAGAAGAUGCCUGGAGGGCCACAUAUGUCCAGGCUGCAGUGGGUAUGCAGCACAGGAGCUGGCUCCUGGUUUGGGCAAAACCAUGGUCUUACCUUCUUCCUGGCACCUCCUUAUCAAUAACCCAUAAUUACAUGUUUUAAAAUAUCCUGCAAAUUAGUUGUGAGUCUGGCAUUGUGACUACCCUUAUUGAGUUGGGGUUGGUUUGCUUUCAGGGUUUCCAG